AGAGUUUGAUCCUGGCUCAGAACGAACGCUGGCGGCAGGCUUAACACAUGCAAGUCGAGCGCCCCGCAAGGGGAGCGGCAGACGGGUGAGUAACGCGUGGGAACGUACCUUUUGCUACGGAAUAACUCAGGGAAACUUGUGCUAAUACCGUAUGUGCCCUUCGGGGGAAAGAUUUAUCGGCAAAGGAUCGGCCCGCGUUGGAUUAGCUAGUUGGUGAGGUAAAGGCUCACCAAGGCGACGAUCCAU
rnacentral:rRNA from 1 species